UACGUAGGGGGCAAGCGUUGUCCGGAUUUAUUGGGCGUAAAGGGCGCGUAGGCGGCCACUGCAAGUCAGUUGUGAAAUCUCCGGGCUUAACCCGGAAAGGUCAACUGAUACUGCAGGGCUAGAGUGCAGAAGGGGCAACUGGAAUUCUCGGUGUAGCGGUGAAAUGCGUAGAUAUCGAGAGGAACACCUGCGGCGAAGGCGGGUUGCUGGGCUGACACUGACGCUGAGGCGCGAAAGCCAGGGGAGCGAACGGG
rnacentral:rRNA from 1 species